rnacentral:rRNA from 1 species
AAGGAGGUGAUCCAGCCGCACUGGAACUGAGACACGGUCCAGACUCCUACGCGAGGCAGCAGUGGGGAAUAUUGCACAAUGGGGGAAACCCUGAUGCAGCCAUGCCGCGUGUGUGAAGAAGGCCUUCGGGUUGUAAAGCACUCUCAGUAGGGAGGAAGGUAGUGCAGUUAACACCUGCAUUAUUUGACGUUACCUACAGAAGAAGCACCGGCUAACUCCGUGCCAGCAGCCGCGGUAAUACGGAGGGUGCGAGCGUUAAUCGGAGUUACUGGGCGUAAAGCGCAUGCAGGCGGUCUGUUAAGCAAGAUGUGAAAGCCCGGGGCUCAACCUCGGAACAGCAUUUUGAACUGGCAGACUAGAGUCUUGUAGAGGGGGGUAGAAUUUCAGGUGUAGCGGUGAAAUGCGUAGAGAUCUGAAGGAAUACCGGUGGCGAAGGCGGCCCCCUGGACAAAGACUGACGCUCAGAUGCGAAAGCGUGGGGAGCAAACAGGAUUAGAUACCCUGGUAGUCCACGCCGUAAACGAUGUCUACUUGGAGGUUGUGGCCUUGAGCCGUGGCUUUCGGAGCUAACGCGUUAAGUAGGCCGCCUGGGGAGUACGGUCGCAAGAUUAAAACUCAAAUGAAUUGACGGGGGCCCGCACAAGCGGUGGAGCAUGUGGUUUAAUUCGAUGCAACGCGAAGAACCUUACCUACUCUUGACAUCCAGAGAACUUAGCAGAGAUGCUUUGGUGCCUUCGGGAACUCUGAGACAGGUGCUGCAUGGCUGUCGUCAGCUCGUGUUGUGAAAUGUUGGGUUAAGUCCCGCAACGAGCGCAACCCUUAUCCUUGUUUGCCAGCACGUAAUGGUGGGAACUCCAGGGAGACUGCCGGUGAUAAACCGGAGGAAGGUGGGGACGACGUCAAGUCAUCAUGGCCCUUACGAGUAGGGCUACACACGUGCUACAAUGGCGCAUACAGAGGGCGGCGAACCAGCGAUGGUAAGCGAAUCCCAAAAAGUGCGUCGUAGUCCGGAUUGGAGUCUGCAACUCGACUCCAUGAAGUCGGAAUCGUUAGUAAUCGUGGAUCAGAAUGCCACGGUGAAUACGUUCCCGGGCCUUGUACACACCGCCCGUCACACCAUGGGAGUGGGCUGCACCAGAAGUAGAUAGCUUAACCUUCGGGAGGGCGUUUACCACGGUGUGGUUCAUGACUGGGGUGAAGUCGUAACAAGGUAACCGUA